UGUAACUAACCAACUAAUCUAUUACGAUUUUCUUUCCAUCUGUAAUACAUAUUUUUACGUAAACUAUACUUAUUUUGAUUCGUUUUGUACUUUAUUAGCGUCCUUUUAAAAAAUCUUCAAAUUAGUAAUACUUAAUAAUUUUUAUCCAUAAGCAUACCGGCAAAACGUAUCUCUCUCAGUUUAGCAUCUUCAUCUUCUUCCUCUGUAUCAUCUGUUGGGUUUCGAAUCGUAGAUGUAGUUGGCUGAUUCUGAAAUUACAGCUGGAAUUCAAGGGUAAAAAUCGAUCGGAGCAUAAAGUAUUGUGAUCGGUUUAGGGGAAGAUGAUAACAAGGUCAAAACUGGUAGAGCAGCUAAGAGAUUAUCAGAUCCGAUCUCAACACAAGUGCCCUCCUCUUACUUUCUUUUCCCCAAAUCUUCAUCUAUCCAAUUGGUACCUCUCCAUUUCUAUCUAUGUAAUAUCAAUUUAGGCUUUUAUGGUUUUUUUUUUUUUAUUAAACUUAUUUCUGUCCAUGAGUUAUUUGUACUGACUUAUGAUUUUGCGAUGCAUUUAGAGGUCGUUUGGUAGCUGGUUAGAAUCAUGCAGUUAUUGGUAAUUGUAAAUGUAUCAGGUCAGCUCAAUUUGACCAGCUCAAAUUUAGCCCAAUCUGCACAUUUAACACCUCUCGCAAACCAUUGCCCUGGACUAAUUGAAUAUUUAGGAAUAAUUCCUCUUUGUGCUUGCAUAUACGUUUCCAUAAUCCUACUCCUGGAAGCCUAGACAGUUUGGUCUUGUGAGUUUACUUCCAUAGCCAUUUGAUGAGAAGGAUCUUGUUGUGGAGAACCAGGUCCUUUAUUCCCGUCCCCCUCAGUUGUUUGGGUAAAAGGACUUUGGGCCGCUUUAUGCAGCGAAAUUGAUGCUCAUCGCUAUUCCCCUCCCACAAGAAGUUCCUUCUAAUCUUAUCAAGUUGCUUCAGGACUUUGAUAGAGACAUGUAGUAUGUAGGAAUACUGUACACGGUUGAUCAAUGCCAAUCUUCCACCCAUUAAUAGGUACUGCACUUGCCAAGAAGCUAAUCUCUUUUCAAACUUUUCAAUCACACCAUUCCAUAUACUUGUAGCUUUAUAUUUUGCACCCACUGGUAGACCCAAAUAGGUUGUAGGAAAAGAGCUGAUGCUGCAACCAAGUAUUCCUGCUAGUUCUUCCGGAUUUGGUACUACAUUAUCAGGUUAAAUAACACUUUUUAGCAUGUUGAUGUGAAGUCCUAAUGGUGCUUCAAAAAUGAGCAAUAUUAAAUUUAGGUAAAGGGUCUGUAAUCUGUUUUCACCACAAAAGAUUAGAAUAUCAUCAACAUACAAUAAGUGUGACGAGUUUACAGUGCUCCUUGCCCCGGCCUCUCUGUUUAGCUUUAUCCAGCAUCCUACCCAGCUCUUCCAUUGCUGGUAUGAAGAGGAAACGUGAUAGGCGUUUCCCUGGCGUCGGUCCUUUUGUGGGUAAAAAAGCCACAGGGCUUCUAUUCAUCAGAACCGAGUAUUUCACUGUGGUAACAAUGAACAUGGGCCACUUGAUCCAUUUCUCCCCAAAACUCAUCUAUCGUAACAUUGAGAAUAGGUAUAACCAAUUUAGUUGGUCAAAGGUCUUCUCAAUGUCUAGUUUACAAAGAAAUGCAAUGUCACGACCCGAGUUGUGGCCUUGACCGCUACGGGCAUCCAGAACCAUCAAGGUCCAAGAGACCCCUUUAACGGCCCAACCCACUAGUGAUAUUGUCCGCACGGCUUUAAAACGCGUCACUAGAGAGUAAGACUUGCUUACUUAUAUACCCAGCAUCCCUUUUGUGUCUUGCGGAUGUGGGAUUCCUUAUCCUAAGUUGGGGUCGUUGAGGUUUGCCCCCACCGAAUAGGAUUUGCCUAGACUUAGGACUGAGUUUUGGCCUUGAACUCUGGCCCACGUCAACAGGGCUGACAUAGGAGUGGUUCUGAUACCAUUCUUGUCACGACCCGAGCCGAGACCCUGACCGCGACGGGCAUCCCGAACCAUCAAGGCCCAAGAGACCCCUGUAACGGCCCAACCCACUAUUGAUAUUGUAAUGACCCUUACAGUCAUUUUCCUGUAUUUUCAUAUAAUUUUAGUACUAUUUAAAUGUAUUGUGGAUUAUUUAAUUUAAUUUGGCAUUUGGUAGAAAUAUAAUUUAGUACCCUUCUAGAAUAUUUUCGAUAUUGGUAAAAUUCUGUAAGUGAUGAUAUAUUUAUAUCACUUUAUAAUAGACUUUUAUGAUUUAUUAAUAUUUUAAGCGGAGAUAGUAAUUUUAGAAAUGUUAAAGUAUUAUUAUUAUUAUAUAAUAAAGAUUUUUUAAGAAAUAUUUUUUUACUAAUUAUGGUAUAUUCAAAAUAUUAUAAUUAUUUUAUCAUGAAUUUAUACAAUACCCAAAUAUGUGCGCAGUGUAGAAAAAUUGUUACUUGUGGUCAAUAACACCACACGUGGAAAUGGGAAUGGUGGACCAUAAGGUUGCUUCCACUUGUCUUCAACUUUAGGCUAACUUUACUUAUAUAUAUAUAGUAACAUUUGACCCUUUUAAAGUUAAAAAAAAGGGUGAACCAUCCACUAUCCAUCCACUGUAGGUAUAUAUAUAUUCACGAUAGGUUUUGCGGAAAGGGUGAACCAUCCACUAUCCAUCGUUGUGGAAAAUAAUUUUUCUUGAUGUUAUUUAAGCUCGGACUCUAGCAAGACUUUAUUCGGAGGCUUUGCGGAAAGAUAUGUUAGCUUUGGCGUCUAGGUAGGCUAGGUUUACCCUACCUUUAGAUUGAGCUUAUUUACUGAAAUUGUAAACUAUUAUGCUAGCUUUGGAUAAGUGUCUGUAGAUGCAUAUUAUUUGAUUUAUAUAAAUUGUCUUAUUUAUCCGGAUUAGGACCCCGUUCUAGUAAAUAUUGAAAUAUUAUCUUUUAAUAUAAUAUAGCAUCUAUUACUUUAGGACGUGAAACUAAAUUUGCAAAUCUUGAAUUUAUCCCUUUUAAUUAAGAUUAGCGGAUGAUUAUUUAGACGUUGACAUUGUCAUGGUAUGGAUUUUAAUAUUACCAUUGGGUAUUGUUACUAUGAGUUCCAGUUCGAGUCCGGCAUUUGAUUAUUAUUGUUACUAUGAGUUCUGGUUCGAGUCUGACAUUUGAUUAUUAUUGUUACUAUGAGUUCCGGUUCGAGUCCAGCAUCUGAUUAUGGUUGUGGUUCCUCUGAGUUCCGGUUUGAGUCCGGCAUCUGAUUAUGAGUUCUAUAUAUAUGUGGCCUAUUGUUAUUAUCAACUAUGUCCGGUUCCAAUCCAGCACGUGUCCUCUUGUUAUUACCCAUUGGUUCCGGUUUAAGUCUGGUGCACAUCUGGAUGACUAUUACGAUUUAUUGGGAUCAGCGCAGUUAUGGAUUAUGUAUGUUUAUUUUCAUUACUUGUGUGUCCCACCGGCUUAUUGGGGUACGGUUAGGUUAAUUGUCUUCUUCAGUGUGCCUAGCGGGCUUAUGGGGGCCCAGUUAGGUUACGUUUGAUUUGUUUGUUAUACUGCAUUAUUAUUUUUUUUGUAUCGCUUACGUUUAUUCCUUUACAGCCGUUGCGUAGCUUGGUAGUUGUUAACCUUUCCAUCCCUAUUUACUGAUGACUCAGAUUACGCCUUCGCAUUGUAGUUAUACCUUUUCUGUAUUGAGCUUAUUCGACCGAUGAUGCCUACUGAGUACCCGUUGCUUUGGUACUCAUACUAAACUUCUGCAUUUUUUUCCUGAUGCAGAUCCGGGUACUAGCAGUCGACGUGAUUUCUACCUUUCAGUACUGAUUCAGAGCAGGGUGAGCUUGCUGUCGUCCGAGGAUGAUCCUCCUCUAUCUACUCUAGUUAGUCUUUUGCACUCGAGACUGCUUGUGUAUAUUGUGUACAUUUUAGAUUUUUGUCUAGUACUUGGGUACCUGUUAGUAGUGGCUCUAGUACUGACCUUAUCGGGUCUUGGGAGGGAUUCAUUUGUAUAGUUGGUCCUUUUUCCUCCUCUCGUUUUAAUAUAAUAUAUAUGCUCCCUUCUUAGCUUUCAAUUAUUAUUGUUGUAGUUAUCAUUAUACAUGAUCUUUUAUUUGAUCUCUGCCGGUUAGCCCGUUACCUAUCAUUCCAGACUAUGGCUUGGCUUGCCUACUGGUUGGUUAAAGUAGGCGCCAUCACGACUUGAGAAAUCGAGUCGUGACAGCUUGGCAUCAGAACCUAGGUCUUACUAGUAUUGUUAGUACUAGAGCCGAUGUUUAGUAGAGUCCCACGGAUCGGUACGGAGACGUUUGUAUCCUAUCCUUGGGAGGUUACCGAGCAUUUUUAGGGAAAAAUCUCAUUUUCUUGAUCCAUUUUUGUGCGUAGUAGGUCUGGGUUGGUUGUAACUCUUUUUAUUGGCUCAUUCUCUACGCAGAUGGAUAGGACGCGAGGUUCGAGAGCAGGGGGUCGAGGCCCCAAGUCCGCUUCUAGAGUUCUAGCUUGGGGUCGACCCAGAUAUCAGGGGCAGGGUAGAGCAGCAAUCCCUUUUCGAGAUCAGGCCAGGGAUCCAUCACCUGUUAUAGCUCCGGGGAUUGAGAGAGCUCCAGGUAUUCCGCCACAUCAGCAGGUGGGCCAAGGGAAAGCCCAGGCUCCACCCGGCUUUAUAUCUUCUUCGGGGUGUAUUGGUACAGUUAUUAGGGUUAGUUGGCGGUCCACCAGUCGUGGGAGCUCAGCCAGCAGCACAGGGUAGUGUUGAUUUAGGGGCACAGCCUGCGGCAGCGACGUGUAGGGUAGAGAUUCCACCAGCACCAGUAGUCCUACAGCUGGCAGUAGCCCAGCCAGUUAUGUCUGUAGAGGAGCAGAAGAUGUUGGAUCGAUUGACUCCACCCAGGUUUGCCGGGACCCCGUGAAAGGAUGCUCACGAGUUCCUAUCCAGUUGCGAUGUGGCGGAAUACCUGGAGCUCUCUCAAUCCCCGGAGCUAUAACAGGUGAUGGAUCCCUGGCCUGAUCUUGAACAGGGGUUGCUGCUCUACCCUGCCCCUGCCCCUGAUAUCUGGGUCGACCCCAAGCUAAAACUCUAGAAGCGGACCCGGGGCCUCGACCUCCUGCUCUCGAACCUCGCGUCCUAUCCAUUUGCGUAGAGAGUGAGCCAAUAAAAAUAGUUACAAAUAACCCAGACCUACACACAAAAAUGGAUCAAGAAAAUGAGAUUUUUCCCUAAAAAUGCUCGGUAACCUCCCAAGGAUAGGAUACAGACGUCUCCGUACCGAUCCAUAGGACUCUACUAAACAUCGGCUCUAGUACUAACAAUACCAGUAAGACCUAGGCUCUGAUAGCAAGCUGUCACGACCCGAUUUCUCAAGUCGUGAUGGCGCCUACUUUAACCCACCAGUAGGCAAGCUAUAGUCCGGAAUGAUAGGUAACGGGCUAACCGACAGAGACCAAAUAAAAGAUCAUAUAUAAUGAUAACAAUAAUAAUUGAAAACUAAGAAGGGAGCAUAUAUACUCAUUUUCUUGAUCCAUUUUUGUGCGUAGUAGGUCUGGGUUGGUUGUAACUCUUUUUAUUGGCUCAUUCUCUACGCAGAUGGAUAGGACGCGAGGUUCGAGAGCAGGGGGUCGAGGCCCCAAGUCCGCUUCUAGAGUUCUAGCUUGGGGUCGACCCAGAUAUCAGGGGCAGGGUAGAGCAGCAAUCCCUUUUCGAGAUCAGGCCAGGGAUCCAUCACCUGUUAUAGCUCCGGGGAUUGAGAGAGCUCCAGGUAUUCCGCCACAUCAGCAGGUGGGCCAAGGGAAAGCCCAGGCUCCACCCGGCUUUAUAUCUUCUUCGGGGUGUAUUGGUACAGUUAUUAGGGUUAGUUGGCGGUCCACCAGUCGUGGGAGCUCAGCCAGCAGCACAGGGUAGUGUUGAUUUAGGGGCACAGCCUGCGGCAGCGACGUGUAGGGUAGAGAUUCCACCAGCACCAGUAGUCCUACAGCUGGCAGUAGCCCAGCCAGUUAUGUCUGUAGAGGAGCAGAAGAUGUUGGAUCGAUUGACUCCACCCAGGUUUGCCGGGACCCCGUGAAAGGAUGCUCACGAGUUCCUAUCCAGUUGCGAUGUGGCGGAAUACCUGGAGCUCUCUCAAUCCCCGGAGCUAUAACAGGUGAUGGAUCCC
rnacentral:lncRNA from 1 species